CAUGCAAAAACAAUACAGCAUAUCAAUGAGGCCAACAUGCAUAAAAAUGGAAUGCAUAAAAAGUUGUAUUGGUGACCAGAUUGUUAUGGUUGCAACAGGGAAGUUAAACAACACCCAUCUACUGGUGAAAAGUAAAACCACUAUCACCCAUGAAAAGUCAUCAAGGGGUUUUCACAGCUGUAUUUAUUGAAUAAUAUUGAAAUAAAAUGAGAGCAUAAAUCCAAACCCCUUUAAUUGAAU